rnacentral:rRNA from 1 species
CUUUAGUGGCGAACGGGUGAGUAACGCGUAAGCAAUCUGCCCCUAAGACGAGGAUAACAGUUGGAAACGACUGCUAAGACUGGAUAGGAGACAAGAAGGCAUCUUUUUGUUUUUAAAAGACCUAGCAAUAGGUAUGCUUAGGGAGGAGCUUGCGUCACAUUAGUUAGUUGGUGGGGUAAAGGCCUACCAAGACUAUGAUGUGUAGCCGGGCUGAGAGGUUGAACGGCCACAUUGGGACUGAGACACGGCCCAAACUCCUACGGGAGGCAGCAGUAGGGAAUUUUCGGCAAUGGAGGAAACUCUGACCGAGCAACGCCGCGUGAACGAUGAAGUAUUUCGGUACGUAAAGUUCUUUUAUUAGGGAAGAAUAAAUGAUGGAAAAAUCAUUCUGACGGUACCUAAUGAAUAAGCCCCGGCUAACUAUGUGCCAGCAGCCGCGGUAAUACAUAGGGGGCAAGCGUUAUCCGGAAUUAUUGGGCGUAAAGGGUGCGUAGGCGGUUAAAUAAGUUUAUGGUCUAAGUGCAAUGCUUAACAUUGUGAUGCUAUAAAAACUGUUUAGCUAGAGUAAGAUAGAGGCAAGUGGAAUUCCAUGUGUAGUGGUAAAAUGCGUAAAUAUAUGGAGGAACACCAGUAGCGAAGGCGGCUUGCUGGGUCUUUACUGACGCUGAGGCACGAAAGCGUGGGGAGCAAACAGGAUUAGAUACCCUGGUAGUCCACGCCGUAAACGAUGAGUACUAAAUGUUGGGUAAAACCAGUGUUGAAGUUAACACAUUAAGUACUCCGCCUGAGUAGUACGUACGCAAGUAUGAAACUUAAAGGAAUUGACGGGACUCCGCACAAGCGGUGGAUCAUGUUGUUUAAUUCGAAGGUACCCGAAAAACCUCACCAGGUCUUGACAUGCUUCUGCAAAGCUGUAGAAACACAGUGGAGGUUAUCAGUUGCACAGGUGGUGCAUGGUUGUCGUCAGCUCGUGUCGUGAGAUGUUGGGUUAAGUCCCGCAACGAGCGCAACCCUUAUUGUUAGUUGCCAGCACGUAAUGGUGGGGACUUUAGCAAGACUGCCAGUGAUAAAUUGGAGGAAGGUGGGGACGACGUCAAAUCAUCAUGCCCCUUAUGACCUGGGCUACAAACGUGAUACAAUGGCUGUUACAAAGGGUAGCUGAAACGCAAGUUUUUGGCGAAUCUCAAAAAAACAGUCUCAGUUCGGAUUGAAGUCUGCAACUCGACUUCAUGAAGUUGGAAUCGCUAGUAAUCGCGAAUCAGCAUGUCGCGGUGAAUACGUUCUCGGGGUUUGUACACACCGCCCGUCAAACCACGAAAGUUGGCAAUACCCAAAGCCGGUGGCCUAACUUCGCAAGAAGAGGGAACCGUCUAAGGUAGGGUCGAUGAUUGGGGUUAAGUCGUAACAAGGUAUCCCUACCGGAAGGUGGGGAUGGAUCACCUCCUUU